AGACAGUUCGGUCCCUAUCCGUCGCGGGCGUAGGAAAUUUGAGAGGACCUGUCCUUAGUACGAGAGGACCGGGAUGGACAUACCGCUGGUGUACCAGUUGUUCCGCCAGGAGCAUCGCUGGGUAGCUAUGUAUGGAUGAGAUAAACGCUGAAAGCAUCUAAGUGUGAAACUCGCCUCAAGAUGAGAUUUCCCAUUCCUUUGGAAGUAAGACCCCACAGAGAUGAUGUGGUAGAUAGGAUGGAAGUGGAAGUGCGGUGACGCAUGGAGCGGACCAUUACUAAUCGGUCGAGGACUUAACCAA
rnacentral:rRNA from 1 species